GGCACUGUCACCAAUGUUUGAAGGAAGAGACGGCAAGUUAAACUUGGCUUUGGACAGUUCAGCUUUAAGAGAAGAUCGAUAUUUUAUCGCUGGCCAGGCCAUUGCUGCAAGUCUUGUCCAUGGGGGUCCUCCACCAGGAUUCAUUGCACCAACACUGUAUUCUCAUCUAGUUGGUGCCAUUUCCUCAAAGCCUGUCUUGGAAGACAUUGUUGAUACAGACCUCUAUGAGAAAGUUAAAAAGAGCAAAUGGGACCCUCAAAGCUAGGUAAAAUCCUAGCCUUUGCAACGGGUGCAAAUGUCAUCCCUCCAGUUGGCUUCUCUCCUCAACCAUCAAUUGCUUUUCUGCAUGAUCAGUCCAU